AUCUUUUUUGCAAUUUGCUAUAAAAAAUCGGAAGUAUUAUACUAUGUAAAGUAAAGAACUAAUUAUCGCAGGCGUCCGUUUCAAUCUCCUCCUGGACUCUGUUCCUCAAGACAACACUCACAAGUACCCGGACUUUGAUUUUUAGAGAAAGUGUUCAAAAUCAAAUGUUUCUGAUGCUUCACUCACUAGAAAAGGCCAAACCCCAAAUUUCUUGAACUUUUUAAAGUACUGCCCUAAGUCGGGAGGUUUUGGAAGGUAGAAAAAUUUCCCUUAAACCAGAUCCUGGUCCAUGCGGUGGAUUUGUACCAGGAAUCAUCAAUGGUUCCUGGUGUAUGAAAGUUUCUGCAGUGGAAAUGCAGCAUUACACACGGAGGAUUCGGUGUAAGGUAAGAAUUUGAGCAUCAGGUGGGCUCGUAACAUGUCUGCAUUUUCUUCCAUUUUACUGAAACCUUUGCCUGUUGUAACAUUUCUGUGGCUUUGGUAAAAGAGUAAAACCUAAUAUUGAAGGUUCACCACCUGUCUAUGCAUCAACUACAACUAAAGCAACAAGAUUUGACUUGAAUGAGUCUGAAAAAUGCCAUGAUGACUCUAAACAUAUUUUCUUUGGAUUAAUACAGUCGGAAUAACCCACAGUUACUGUUUUACAUACAACAAGCUACAAGAGCCAUUCAGGCCAAUUCUUCAGAUGUUGAUCAUUGUUAUAAUGAAAAGCCAGGACUACUGCUCUCCAUCGAAGAAGUUAUUUUUGUAAUCACACCUCACUUUUAAGCAACUUUGACUGGCAUUUGUUUGGUCAUUUUGCUUGUUCUUAGAGGCAACUGAACAAGCUGCUAAACCACUACAAACUCC